UACGGGGGGGGCAAGCGUUGUUCGGAAUUACUGGGCGUAAAGGGCUCGUAGGCGGCCAACUAAGUCGGAUGUGAAAUCCCCAGGCUCAACCUGGGAACUGCAUCCGAUACUGGAUGGCUUGAAUCCGGGAGAGGGAUGCAGAAUUCCAGGUGUAGCGGUGAAAUGCGUAGAUAUCUGGAGGAAUACCGGUGGCGAAGGCGGCAUCCUGGACCGGCAUUGACGCUGAGGAGCGAAAGUGUGGGGAGCGAACAGG
rnacentral:rRNA from 1 species